ensembl:lncRNA
CUGCUCCGGGUGUGUGUUCACGGUGUGUGUGUGCACUUUGGAUGGGUUAAAUGCAGAGCAUGAAUUCUGAAUAUGGGUCACCAUACUUGGCUGUAUGUCACGUCACUUAAUAACAACGGACACACACGCGCCUAAUGUAAGAAUCCUGUGUCACUACAAUCGUCUUUACCUUGAUUACAAUCACCAUCAAUCAAAACUUUACUAGUUUUUCCAGCCGAGAGCUACAGCGCGAUGAGAAACGGCUUGAGCUGCUUCAACACAGAAUAUCACAGAAUGCGUAGGCCUACAAGUAAAGUGGUACUGUAAUUUUUUGUUUUUUAUUUAACAUAUUAAUCAUAAAAUGUGUGAAUUGAAUAUACUUUAAUGAAGUGGUGCUGUAUUUUUUUUUUUUUUUUUGUUAUCUAUUUAACAUAUUAAUCAUAAAAGUUUAAGUGGUCUCGUGCCCCGCAGGUUGAGAACCACUGUCCUAGGCAAUAGUUUGUAGGGCACUUCGGGGCUAGAUGUCACACUUUCUAUUCCAAAUUUAUUUUGAAAGUCAAUUUCUGUACAGGUACAUACCUUAAAAUCAUGACUAUUUCAUGACAAAAGCUAUUUCCACCAUAAAGCAGAAAAGAGUUUUAUUUAACACACCUUUUAUAGGUUCAAAAUUACAAAUUUGAAAACACUUAACAAAUUGCCUCAAUAAAGAUGUGCCAAUUUGCACCAACCUGAUAAUUAAAUUACUCUUGUCCUAGGAAUACAGGUCAACCUUUUAGCUAAAAUCUGUUUCCAAUCCAGAUUCACGUGCUUUAUGGCUGUGUUGAACGUACAUGUCACUCAAACAGUGGGUGGGCUGGACCGUAACCCCCGCCCUCUCCUCCAGAGAAGAACUCCACAGCCCAAGCCCAAACUCUGCCAUUCUCCAUAGCCCAGAGUUACAAGCACACUGAGGAGACCCAGCACAGUGUGAGAGAAAGAGAGAGAGAGAGAGAGCAAGUGACAAAGUAACUAAUAAAACCAGAAAAAUAUACAGUGAGGCUUCGUGCCUCGAGAAAGAACGACAGAGCACACGAAUACCUUCAAGUUUGGUUAAGAAAACGUGGUGGAAAACUUUUCUGGGCUGUGGCAGAAAGCUGUGGACCGCGGAAGAUGCCAGAGCAAAGGUGUUGAACUUUCCAGAAUAUAAAGGAGGACAGGAGAGAGUUUGAGCAUUAGCCUUGGCAAUUCAGUAGGUCCCCUUAUCCUCCCAGGGAUAAUGUAAAUCUUGCAAGUUGUUUUAUUCAUCUAUUUGAUUGGAAUGUUAAUGUUAGAUACUUUUUACAGCGCAUCCAAACUUGUAAAAACUAUUUAAUAUUAUUUACAUGAAAACAUGAGACAUUCUAAAUUAGUUAUUUGUGUUAAUAACUUCACCAAUGCAGAUUACAUUUUGGACCUUAGAAUUACUUGAACUGAGAUUUGAAUUCAUUUGAAUGUUAAUCAUAAAUUCCACCUUGAGGAUUGCACAGUGCUGCCUACUGUGAACACUGAGAAACAUGACACUGCUCAAGCACAUUUGACUCGUCAAUGCUGUCAGACCAGCCGUUAAGAGCUGCUUAUUCCCAGUGCAACAAUCUUGCUCAUCAAGAUUUUGGUCUUGAAAGUAAUCAAAACUACUGCAAAGAUGCCUGCUUGAAGCAGCAUAUUUGAUUAUAUCUUAUAUCCGAUUGGUUGCGUAGAUGUCUUGGACACUCCUAGUAAAGUUUGACCAUCUCAGAAGGUGCUCUGAGUUUUUAAUGUGAUUAGGUUAUUACAUGCAUAAAACAUCAGUUAUAAGACUAAGCAGAACCUUUAUCAAUUAGUUCCUUUGACAGUGGAUUGAAAGAAAGCAUAAGCGGUAAUGCCCACUUGUCUUUCAGCAAGAAUUGCUGGGUGUAUGUUGUGUCACUAAAUUAUAAUUAAUGCGCCAAACAGUUACAGUUUAUAAUGGGUUCCCUCCACUUUUCAGAUCCUCUUGGUCCUAUUUUUGCAACAGUAAUUAACUCUUUCCCCGCCAUUGACGAGUUUUUAUGGCUUUUCGUGUUUUCAAUGUUAUACACUUAGGGGGGCUAUUACAUGUCUUCUGAACGAGUACAAAAACUACUGAUCAAAAAACACACAUGAAUGGGACGGACAAACUA